rnacentral:lncRNA from 1 species
CCUAACUUAACCUAGAUAAAUCUCAAUUGUUGAACCCACUGAAGUUAAGGCUAAUAAUCUGGUCCUAAUCAGUAGCAAGAUUAGACCUCGGAGACUUGUGCCUCUAUUUUAUGUUUACUCAUACUUAUUACUUCCAGAAUAAACACCAUUGCUUCCAACCAAUGCACAUAGGUUCAAUCUUCUUGAGAAAAUUUCCUCUCUCUGAAAGUGGAAGUCCCUUGGAAUAAAGGUUACAGGCCUCAUAUCUACAAAGAGUGUGAACUAUGUCCCAUCCAUUCCUUUCCUUGAUGCUGUUCAUUGCACAUACUACAUUGUUUCUUGCAAUAAUUUGGCACAAAUACCUAGGCUAUACUUGUCAAAGGAAAGGAGAACAUGGUAAUUAAUAACACAACUCUCAGUAAAUUAAUCUUUCCCCUUUCCGAUUUCACUUCGAGCAAAGUGCACGGCAACAUAACAGACUAUACCCUGCCUCAGCCUUCAAGUAAUAAUCCACCCCAACAACUCUACUGAAAGAGCAAUUAGUUGAAUUGUAUAUUGCAAGCCAAGCAAAUCUUUCCAUGAUAAAAGAACUUGUUUCAUGUUAUCUUUUUCUUUUGCAUGCCAAAGAUUAGAAAACACAAAUUCCAGUGCCUUAAUUAUCUGUAUUACAAAUAACUGAUAGCUUACAGAUAUGCCCUCUCCUGUAAGAAACUGACAGUAAAGAAUUGAGAGACGAGUGCUUUAUUACAAAGACUCACCAUCUGUAUGUUUA